rnacentral:rRNA from 1 species
GUCCGUUUCCUCUCGUGGUAGGUAGCCCCGUCCGGCGGCGCCGAUGCUAAUACCUUCAAUAGCCCCUUGUUGGCUUCACAUCCAAUUCGAGAUAGAAGCGCGGGAUCCCCUCCCCGCGCGCCCUAUUCUGUGUGGACAGAUCCAUUGAGAGGCGCCCUUGAUUCCUGGCUGUUGUAUCAUGGGGUUGCUAGCUCUGAAGAUGCUCAUGUCUAGGCGGCGGGAUAGCAAGCAUCUUUGCGGCCAGAUUCAAGCCCGUAAUAGAUUGGUUACUUCAGUGGUUAAAAGAAAGAUCUCUUCAUGCCAACACAAUAACAAUCAAGGUUGCAAGAGAGUGGCAUUUUCAGGGGCAGACCUUCCAGAGGUACGGCAUACUACAAUGCUGAUAAUACUAGUAAUUAGAGUAAAACACGACUAUGACUAUUCUAGCCUCAAAGUGCACAAAUUGAUAUGGACUGAUCUUGUAGUGCUGCAAUCUCCUGCAGUACGUACUACAACAUUAGUUGCUUUGCUCAUUUCUAACUAUUCCAGCUCAGAACAAAACUCUCUGUCAAGAGAUGAGGGUGAGUUGCUUUGCUAUUUUUGUUCGAUACAUUUUAGCAAGGUAAGAAAGAGAGGUGAGACACAUGGAUAGACCACCACUAAUCCUCACCCUCAAUUGAACAAGUUUUAGAACAAAUUAUUGGUUAAUAGGCUUCAGAGCAGCGGCGAGUCUAGUAGGGGGCCUUCAACAGGCUUGAGCCUACCCUCCAGCAAAACAAAAGCUCACCAGUCCAUCUAGAGCCCGUUCACUGUAGCAAAACAUACGAGCAAUAUCUCUCUGUUCGUAACUUUGCACCCAGCCAGCCGUGAUGCGUCCAACAGAAGUGCAGAAUAAUAGUCGCAAUCUCACAGGACUGCAGCCCUCAACAGAGGAGUGCACCGACAGUAUGGUAGAGGAGCGCGCCGGCAGUAGGGUAGUGGAACGCGGCGGCAGUACCGCAGUAGGGAAUUGGAGCGUGCUGGCCGGCCCACAAAGGAGGGAGAAGGCCACAACCUGGGCAGCUCCACAGCUGGGCGCAUCCCCGCUUUGGCCACUGGAGGGCCAACCCGCAAGAUGUUGGUCUAAUACUUGAUUUAUUUCGUUAAAUUAGUAACACUAAUGGCUAGCUCAUGAAAUGUUAAAUAGUUUACUGUUGAAUACAGCUUGUUUGCCUAUUUACAAAAAUAAAGAUACUAUGAGUAUUCUACGAGAAAGAGAUAUCCACAAGCAUAAUUUUCAGUAAUAAUUCUAGUGUUGGGCACUUGGGUAUACUUUUCUUUAUUUUGGUUUGGAGCCGUUCAACAAUAUGGCAGUAUGAAGCAACACUGAUAUCAUUGUUUUUGCCUUCUUGUGCUGUUUUAUUGUUGCUUCUCUCAUACUAAUGUAUUGGUAUGUGAAUUCCUAGUACAUGACACUAUUUUCUAUGAUGAUGCUAAUUUAGUUUAGUCAUCGUUAAUUUUGAGCCCACCCUCCAUUUCCUUUCUGGAUUCGCCACUGCUUCAGAGUAAGAUUCUACAAGUGGUUCAUAGAAAUCAAUACGACCUUUUGAAAUCUCACACAAUACAAGAUUGUCUGGCUUGGGCAUUCGAGUACAUUCACCAAUGCAAACAGUCAGGAAAGCAAACUGUCAUCCUUAAACUUGAUUCACCAAAGUGUCUGAUAUGGUGGAACAUGAUGCUAUUCUUCAGACAAUGGCUAACUUGGCUUGCUUGGAUGAAAUGCAUCAUCUCUUCAGGCACUUCUUCCAUUUUGCUUAAUGCGAGUCCCGGGUAAAAAAUUGUCUGUAAGAGGGGUGUCCGUCAAGGGGAUCGGCUCUCGCUGUUACUUUUUGUGGACUCGGCCGACCCUCUUCAAACUAUGCUUAAUGAUCAUUUUCUCCAUGGGCAUUUGAGAGCUCUUAUUCCUAUUCCGACCACGACCAGCACUUUCCCAUCAUACAGUACGCUGAUGAUACUCUAGUUGCGUUGGUGGCCUCGGCUGAUCAGGUUCUUGUAUAUAUCCUAAAAAGCACCUUGGAGUAGUUUUCCCUUGCUACAGGGUUAUCAGUGAAUUUCAGCAAAUCUUGUAUGGUGCCAAUUAACUGUUCCGAUCAACAGAUGCAGGACCGUUCUAGCUUGCUGGAAUGCCAUGUUGGCCAGCUGCCAUUUCCUUAUUUGGGCUUACCACUUGGUACAACACGUCCUAUAAUUCAAGAUUUUGUGACCCUUGGUGGACUGUGUGGAAAGAAGAUUAAACGUCUGCUCCCGCUUUUUGACAUCUGGUGGCUCUCUAAUUAUGUUAAUUCAGUUAUGUCAGCGCUCCCUACAUUUUACAUAGGCUCUCUUAAGAUUUAGAAAAGGACGAUCCAGUCAAUGGACAGAGCAAGACGCCACUGUCUUUGCGCCAAAGGGAGGAUGGCAUUGAUCAAAAACCCAAAUCCUUGGCUAUAUGGGAUAUAGUUUGCAUGACAGCAGCUUUUUAAGUUUUACAAUUGUGCUAACAUUUCUUGGCCGCAGCUGGUUAGGCAUGCAUAUUAUCAGAAUUUUGUUCCCCACGGCUCAUUUUGGUGGCGGGACAUUUGUUCUUUUGCUUGGCACUUUCGGGCUAUUACCGCACUUGAUCCAAGAACUGGCAUGACUAUACUUCCGUGUGAAGAUAAGUGGCAUUCUGGAGCUUCACCUCCCGAGAUUUUUAUAAUUUUCUGUUGAGCACAAUAUAUUCCUUGCCCAGGCUGUUCAAACAAAAGAUAUAACAACUUUGUUCAUUCUGCCCCUGUCUGAGCAAGAGUUUGAGGAGCUUUAGGUUGUCUCUGCCCAUUCAGAUGACUGUUCAGGAUGGUCUGUCAGAUUCUUGGACGUGCUGUUUAGAACUUCAAAUGCUGGGCGUUUUACUCCAUCUAGCUACAAAUUCCUAUUUGCUGGUUUGGAGGUUGACCCAAUCUUCUCUAAAUUAUGGAAAAGCAAAUGUAUGACCAAGCUGAAGGUGUUUGCUUGGUUAUUUUUAAUGGAUCGGCUCAAUAGUAGGGGUCUAAUGCUUCGGAAACAUUAGCAUUUGGAGCCUGGUCCCAAUUGUGUGCGCUGCUCUGAGGGAAUUAUUGAAACAAGGAACCAUAUCUUCUUUGAGUGUUCUUUUGUAGCUAGGUGCUGGAAUUUUGCAGAAGUCACUUGGCUCCCAGGUCUUUCUCUGUUCCAUUCUUUCCAUGCAACGAAAGCUUCCUUUCAGAGCUCAUGUUUCAUUGAGAUCAUUACUUGUGUUGCUUGGAAUAUCUAGAAAGAAAGAAAUGGUUUGAUUUUUAGCAAACAAGACCAAUAUUUUCUUCUUGGAAAGCUAGGUUCCUAUCUGAUCUCAACCUCACUGCUCAUCGUUUCAAGCAAACCGAGAAGCAAAAGUUUGAAACUUGGAUCUAUAGCCUCUGGCCUUGGCUCUUUUUUCUUUUGUUGCUCCUUGGGGUUUCUAGCUAUCUAGUUCCCCACUGAAUUGUUAGCCUUGUUAACCUACAUGUAACCUUUCUGUUUUAUGUACUAUAUUUAUUAAUAGAAAAUUACCCUUGGGGGUUCCCCCAGGAUUUCAUGGUAAAAAGAAUAGUAGGAAAGUACCGACAACACAGUUUUUUGUGAACUAAAUCUUACUCCCUCCGUCCGAAAAUACUUGUCAUCAAAAUGGACAAAAAGGGAUGUAUCUAAAACUAAAAUACAUCUAGAUACAUCCCCUUUUAUUCAUUUUGAUGACAAGUAUUUCCGGACGGAGGAAGUAUAAAGAAACAUCCUGCACAUGCUCACCCCAUUGUAACAACCACUUGCCUGUACAAUUCCCCUUGUGAACUUUUCUCCAAUGUUUGUGUCUAUAGGACAUCUGGCGCCAUAUACAUUCCCUACUGCCGCUGCGAGAUGCUGCCCGUGUUGCCUGCGUAUCUCAUGCAUUUUUACGUUCCUGGAAAUGCCAUCCCAACCUCUCCUUCACUAGGAAAGCACUGGGCCUGAAUAGAAUUCCACGUCAAAGUGAUGUAAUUGCAAGGGAUCUCACUAUGAAAGUCGACCACAUUCUCAAAAAACACUCAGGCAAAGGAGUUAAGAAAUUCAGGAUCGAAUUACACAUGCCAGUUGAUCCCUGCUAUCUUAAUAGCUGGCUUCAGAUUGCUGCUGAACUACGGGUUGAGGAACUCGCCGUUGUUCUACCUUCAACCUGCAAUGCAAAUGACUACGAUUUCCCUUGUGCACUUUUUGUUGAUGAUGGGUGUAGAAACGCAAUAGAGCAUCUCUGCCUUGGCGGUUGUGCCUUCCAUCCCACAGCUGGAUUUGGUUACUUGAGAAAGCUGCGGCUGUUUUGGGUGCAUAUUACGGUGGAUGAAUUAGAAUGCCUUAUUUCCAAAUCUCCAGCUUUGGAGCACUUGGCACUCAAGUAUUGCUAUACGAUCACUUACCUGAAGAUACCUAGCCUGCUACAGCAUCUCAGCUACCUGAUGGUAGCUGCAUGCGCUAAUCUGCAGACAAUAGAGUGUAAAGCUCCAAAUCUCUCCACUUUUUACUUCAGUGGUCGACAAGUUGAACUUCUGUUUGGAUGUUCAGUUCAAGUGAAGACCAUGGAAAUGCGUUGUUCUACUCAGUGUAACACCAUUUAUAAUGCUUGUGCCAACCUGCCAUCCAUUGUGCCAAAUAUUGAAACUCUCAGCAUAUCUUCUGUUAGUGAGGUGGUCAAUAUACCAAUCGUGCCUGUAAAAUUCCUCCACCUCAAGUAUCUGUCUAUUUCUCUUGAAGGAAAUGGGGCUUUUUCCCCAGACUAUGAUUACUUUUCUCUGGUUUCUUUGCUGGAUGCUUGUCCUGUCUUGGAAACUUUCAACUUGUUUGUGUCACAGGAUCGCAUGAAACACGAUUCGGUUCUUGGAGACCCGUCGUCACGUCUUAGGCAGAUGCCUGAAUACCGCCACGACAACAUUAAGAAUGUGAGGAUUAUUGGGUUUUGCUCUGCGAAGAGCAUGGUCGAGCUGGCAUGCCAUAUUCUCGAGAAUGCAACAUCACUCGAGUGCCUUACUUUGGACACGAUACGUGCUUUCAGUAUUGACAGACACAUUCACAAAACUGGUGAAUGUGGCCACAUAGGCAGGCAUAUGAUCAGAGAAGCACGUAAGGCGCUCUUGGCUGUCAAAAGAUAUAUCGUGGGAAUAGUUCCCUCCACGGUCAAGUUAAAUGUCUUGCAGCCUUGCAAGCUAUGCCAUGCUUUGGCUGCUUAGAUGUGGCAAUAUCAUAAAUUUGUAAAUUACAUUGUUGACUGAACACUGUUGCAUGAGUUGCCACUUGCAGCAGGAAUGUCCAAACGGGUCACUUAAACACCAGCGUAGAAGUAUAGGGACAAGCAAUUAUGGUAUUUGAUAUAUAAAAGAAGAUAUCAGGAACUAUUUAGUAUUGUAGCUGUUGAUAUAUUUUCUUAUAAAAUUCGGUCAGGAUUUACAGCAUUUGACCCAAGACAAAAGUUAUAGGCCUCCUUUCGGGAGACAAGGGAGUAUCAUGUAACUGAGAUGUGCUAUGCAGUUAUCCCAGCAAUCUUGUUUAUCUUUCUCCC